GACGAACGCUGGCGGCGUGCAUAACACAUGCAAGUCGAACGGAAAGGCCCUGCUUUUGUGGGGUGCUCGAGUGGCGAACGGGUGAGUAACACGUGAGUAACCUGCCCUUGACUUUGGGAUAACUUCAGGAAACUGGGGCUAAUACCGGAUAGGAGCUCCUGCUGCAUGGUGGGGGUUGGAAAGUUUCGGCGGUUGGGGAUGGACUCGCGGCUUAUCAGCUUGUUGGUGGGGUAGUGGCUUACCAAGGCUUUGACGGGUAGCCGGCCUGAGAGGGUGACCGGCCACAUUGGGACUGGGAUACGGCCCAGACUCCUACGGGAGGCAGCAGUGGGGAAUAUUGCACAAUGGGCGGAAGCCUGAUGCAGCAACGCCGCGUGCGGGAUGACGGCCUUCGGGUUGUAAACCGCUUUCGCCUGUGACGAAGCGUGAGGGACGGUAAUGGGUAAAGAAGCACCGGCUAACUACGU
rnacentral:rRNA from 1 species